AAGGUGAUAUGAACCGUUAUAACCGGCGAUACCCGAAUGGGGAAACCCAGUGUGAUUCGUCACACUAUCAUUAACUGAAUCCAUAGGUUAAUGAGGCGAACCGGGGGAACUGAAACAUCUAAGUACCCCGAGGAAAAGAAAUCAACCGAGAUUCCCCCAGUAGCGGCGAGCGAACGGGGAGGAGCCCAGAGCCUGAAUCAGCAUGUGUGUUAGUGGAAGCGUCUGGAAAGGCGCGCGAUACAGGGUGACAGCCCCGUACACAAAAGCGCAUGUGCUGUGAGCUCGAUGAGUAGGGCGGGACACGUGGUAUCCUGUCUGAAUAUGGGGGGACCAUCCUCCAAGGCUAAAUACUCCUGACUGACCGAUAGUGAACCAGUACCGUGAGGGAAAGGCGAAAAGAACCCCGGCGAGGGGAGUGAAAAAGAACCUGAAACCGUGUACGUACAAGCAGUGGGAGCACAGGUUUACCUGUGUGACUGCGUACCUUUUGUAUAAUGGGUCAGCGACUUAUAUUCUGUAGCAAGGUUAACCGUAUAGGGGAGCCGGAGGGAAACCGAGUCUUAAUUGGGCGUUAAGUUGCAGGGUAUAGACCCGAAACCCGGUGAUCUAGCCAUGGGCAGGUUGAAGGUUGGGUAACACUAACUGGAGGACCGAACCGACUAAUGUUGAAAAAUUAGCGGAUGACCUGUGGCUGGGGGUGAAAGGCCAAUCAAACCGGGAGAUAGCUGGUUCUCCCCGAAAGCUAUUUAGGUAGCGCCUCGUGAAUUCAUCUCCGGGGGUAGAGCACUGUUUCGGCUAGGGGGCCAUCCCGGCUUACCAACCCGAUGCAAACUGCGAAUACCGGAGAAUGUUAUCACGGGAGACACACGGCGGGUGCUAACGUCCGUCGUGAAGAGGGAAACAACCCAGACCGCCAGCUAAGGUCCCAAAGUCAUGGUUAAGUGGGAAACGAUGUGGGAAGGCCCAGACAGCCAGGAUGUUGGCUUAGAAGCAGCCAUCAUUUAAAGAAAGCGUAAUAGCUCACUGGUCGAGUCGGCCUGCGCGGAAGAUGUAACGGGGCUAAACCAUGCACCGAAGCUGCGGCAGCGANNUGCUGGAGGUAUCAGAAGUGCGAAUGCUGACAUAAGUAACGAUAAAGCGGGUGAAAAGCCCGCUCGCCGGAAGACCAAGGGUUCCUGUCCAACGUUAAUCGGGGCAGGGUGAGUCGACCCCUAAGGCGAGGCCGAAAGGCGUAGUCGAUGGGAAACGGGUUAAUAUUCCCGUACUUGGUGUUACUGCGAAGGGGGGACGGAGAAGGCUAUGUUGGCCGGGCGACGGUUGUCCCGGUUUAAGCGUGUAGGUGUGUGUUCCAGGUAAAUCCGGUUCACUUUAACACUGAGGCGUGACGACGAGGCACUACGGUGCUGAAGCAACAAAUGCCCUGCUUCCAGGAAAAGCCUCUAAGCAUCAGGUAACAUCAAAUCGUACCCCAAACCGACACAGGUGGUCAGGUAGAGAAUACCAAGGCGCUUGAGAGAACUCGGGUGAAGGAACUAGGCAAAAUGGUGCCGUAACUUCGGGAGAAGGCACGCUGACACGUAGGUGAAGUGAUUUACUCAUGGAGCUGAAGUCAGUCGAAGAUACCAGCUGGCUGCAACUGUUUAUUAAAAACACAGCACUGUGCAAACACGAAAGUGGACGUAUACGGUGUGACGCCUGCCCGGUGCCGGAAGGUUAAUUGAUGGGGUCAGCGCAAGCGAAGCUCCUGAUCGAAGCCCCGGUAAACGGCGGCCGUAACUAUAACGGUCCUAAGGUAGCGAAAUUCCUUGUCGGGUAAGUUCCGACCUGCACGAAUGGCGUAAUGAUGGCCAGGCUGUCUCCACCCGAGACUCAGUGAAAUUGAACUCGCUGUGAAGAUGCAGUGUACCCGCGGCAAGACGGAAAGACCCCGUGAACCUUUACUAUAGCUUGACACUGAACAUUGAGCCUUGAUGUGUAGGAUAGGUGGGAGGCUUUGAAGUGUGGACGCCAGUCUGCAUGGAGCCGACCUUGAAAUACCACCCUUUAAUGUUUGAUGUUCUAACGUGGACCCGUAAUCCGGGUUGCGGACAGUGUCUGGUGGGUAGUUUGACUGGGGCGGUCUCCUCCUAAAGAGUAACGGAGGAGCACGAAGGUUGGCUAAUCCUGGUCGGACAUCAGGAGGUUAGUGCAAUGGCAUAAGCCAGCUUGACUGCGAGCGUGACGGCGCGAGCAGGUGCGAAAGCAGGUCAUAGUGAUCCGGUGGUUCUGAAUGGAAGGGCCAUCGCUCAACGGAUAAAAGGUACUCCGGGGAUAACAGGCUGAUACCGCCCAAGAGUUCAUAUCGACGGCGGUGUUUGGCACCUCGAUGUCGGCUCAUCACAUCCUGGGGCUGAAGUAGGUCCCAAGGGUAUGGCUGUUCGCCAUUUAAAGUGGUACGCGAGCUGGGUUUAGAACGUCGUGAGACAGUUCGGUCCCUAUCUGCCGUGGGCGCUGGAGAACUGAGGGGGGCUGCUCCUAGUACGAGAGGACCGGAGUGGACGCAUCACUGGUGUUCGGGUUGUCAUGCCAAUGGCACUGCCCGGUAGCUAAAUGCGGAAGAGAUAAGUGCUGAAAGCAUCUAAGCACGAAACUUGCCCCGAGAUGAGUUCUCCCUGAGACUUAGAGUCUCCUGAAGGAACGUUGAAGACGACGACGUUGAUAGGCCG
rnacentral:rRNA from 1 species